rnacentral:rRNA from 1 species
AACGAACGCUGGCGGCAUGCCUAACACAUGCCAGUCGAACGAGACCUUCGGGUCUAGUGGCGCACGGGUGCGUAACGCGUGGGAACCUGCCCUUAGGUUCGGAAUAACUCCCCGAAAGGGGUGCUAAUACCGGAUAAUGUCUUCGGACCAAAGAUUUAUCGCCUUUGGAUGGGCCCGCGUUGGAUUAGCUAGUUGGUAGGGUAAAAGCCUACCAAGGCGACGAUCCAUAGCUGGUCUGAGAGGAUGAUCAGCCACACUGGGACUGAGACACGGCCCAGACUCCUACGGGAGGCAGCAGUGGGGAAUAUUGGACAAUGGGCGAAAGCCUGAUCCAGCAAUGCCGCGUGAGUGAUGAAGGCCUUAGGGUUGUAAAGGUCUUUUACCCGGGAUGAUAAUGACAGUACCGGGAGAAUAAGCUCCGGCUAACUCCGU